rnacentral:piRNA from 1 species
UCCUCUGUUGAAUUAGAGUCCCCAGUGUGCU